UGUGUAGUGUUAAGUUUCCUUUGUAUUGAAAGCAGACACAAUUGUCAUGUUUCCUAUGUAGUGUUACGUUUCCUUUCCGAUGGACAAGAGACAAAGUUCUCAUGUGUCUUUGUAGUGUUAAGUUUCCUUUCUGAUGGACAGGAGACACAGUCCUCCCUUUUCCUCUGUAAAGACACCUUCCAGUCUUGGCCUCACCUCCUUCUGCACUGUGAGGAUCAGCUCACAGCAUCUAAGACAUGACAAAGACUGCAGCACCAACUGAACUGUCAAUCAACCGAGGACCCAUCACAGUUAGACCCCAUAGGGACACAUUUGACUUCCUGCCUGUCCCCGUCAUUCUUCAAAGCAAAGGAUGAGAAAACACCUGCCUGUCUUUGCCUCACUUCCUGUCUGGCUCUGAGAUUCGGGAUCAGCUCAUACCGACCAGGACAUCCUGCCACCACUGCAGCAGCAGAGCAGAUGUUGAAGCACCGUGUUAACUGUUCAUCAUCAGUGGACACUUGCUGGACCACAGAGAGACGUGUUCUCCCUGCCAGUGUUGAGGUUUCUUCACAAAAGAUAAUAAGGUCUUCCUCCUCUGUGAUUCCUCCACUUCACAGUGAAGACACUCAGGACUGCAGAGAGGGCUGAACACAUAAAAGAAGCUGAACAUGCAGCGUAUUCAGUUUCACUGGACUACAUGUUGAUCUGCUCUGCACUGCUCUCAGAGUUCAAGGAUCAGGUGUGUGACUGCAAGGAAGAGUCAUCAGUCAGUCAUCACUGUCCCAGUGACAGCCCCACCUUUAUGCAGCUUCAAGCUCCUCCCUAAACCAGCUGUAAAGGCCUCUCCUCCUCCAUGUAGCUAUAGUAACACUAUCCUGACGUGAUGACUGGAGCAGUGGAUCUACAGCCGCUGCACAGGUCAAAGGUCAUAAUGUUACAGGUCUUCAAAGCAUACACUACUAACUCAUGAACAGUAUUACUACAGGACACCUGUCUAUUUUGUUUGUUUCAUCUCUACCGUAUUUGAUCUAACAAUAUACGUUUUCCUUGUGUUUCAUCGCAUUUUUUUUGUUGAUUGUAUUUAUUUAUUUAUUAUUUUUUUAUUUGUCAUCCGUCCCUUUUCAGUCAGAUUUAUGAGAAAAUUAAGGAUGAAAAUGUUUGUUUGAUUGCCUCGUGCAUAUGAACAAAUUAACCUUGAAGAAAUGACAUAUUUGUAUCACAAUGAGUCAUUAGUAUGGGGUUUCAGCUGGUAGGUAUAUUCAAGGUUUUUCACAUGUGUACACCGAUCCUUAGGAUAACCUAAACUCUAAAAGAUUUAAUAGGAAAACAAAUCCUACAAAGCUUGGGUCCUAACCUUGAGUCAACAAGUGACUCUAACCCAUGUUCCAUCAAAAUAAGGAGAACCCAGUGUGUCUGUGAGCCUCAGUAAACUGAGCUUAACGCUGGGAUAGUCUAAACGACAAUGUUGUCAAGACUUAUCUGUCCAGGGCUCCUGGACCUUGAAGUCUUGAACUGAGUAUUAACCUAAGUCUGGAAACGAUGUGAAAAACCUUUGAUUGUAGGAAAUGAACCAUAUUGUUAACUAUUGAAACUAUAGUAAAUCUAUUCAUGAAUAACACAGAGACCAAUGUUCACAAAACUGUGUUGAUACAUUUCUCACUCUAAGAUUUUAUCUUUCACAAAAUACUCAAAAUAAUUAUGACCAAUACAACAGUACUUGUGCACUGUACUCAUCUAUAUUAUUUCAUUAUAUUUUGAUAGAAGAUAAUGAGUCAAAAAAUGAUGUAAAGACGGGAUCUUCUUUUGUGUUGUAUUUCAACUCUUAGCUUUGUUAAAUGCUGCACUUCAUCUUCCACACUGCCAAUUUUGAAAUUAAAAUAUCAUGUUAUCCUGCUGUGCUGGUCUUCACUUUUUGGCAUUAACACUUAUUCAGCAAAGCCAUUGGAAAUUUCAAUAUUUUCAGAAAUUGAACUUAAUUUCAUCUUUGAGC